rnacentral:rRNA from 1 species
GAUGAACGCUGGCGGCGUGCCUAAUACAUGCAAGUCGAGCGAACAGACGAGGAGCUUGCUCCUCUGACGUUAGCGGCGGACGGGUGAGUAACACGUGGAUAACCUACCUAUAAGACUGGGAUAACUUCGGGAAACCGGAGCUAAUACCGGAUAAUAUUUUGAACCGCAUGGUUCAAAAGUGAAAGACGGUUUUGCUGUCACUUAUAGAUGGAUCCGCGCCGCAUUAGCUAGUUGGUAAGGUAACGGCUUACCAAGGCAACGAUGCGUAGCCGACCUGAGAGGGUGAUCGGCCACACUGGAACUGAGACACGGUCCAGACUCAUACGGGAGGCAGCAGUAGGGAAUCUUACGCAAUGGGCGAAAGCCUGACGGAGCAACGCCGCGUGAGUGAUGAAGGUCUUCGGAUCGUAAAACUCUGUUAUUAGGGAAGAACAAAUGUGUAAGUAACUAUGCACGUCUUGACGGUACCUAAUCAGAAAGCCACGGCUAACUACGUG